CAAACAAUAGGAAAGACUUUCAGAUUCGCUUCGGCAACUCUCUGCAGGACGAAGGAAACGACAAUCCCAGCUGUGCCGUGAUCUCCAGUGAUUCAGCAUCCAACAGCGUCACCUACUCCUGCUCAGAUCGGGAGGGACGGUACAUAAACGUCUUCUCUCGUGGAUACAUUAUCUUGGAUUUCAAGGCCCUCUUGGUUUGUGAGGUGGAAGUAUACGAGACAGAUUAUUUUAGACGCUCGUUUAUGAAGAUAGCGUUUAACUCCACUGCUAAUCUGACCGACCCGAC